rnacentral:rRNA from 1 species
GGGUGAGUAACACGUAAAGAACCUGCCUCAUAGACGGGGACAACUAUUGGAAACGAUAGCUAAUACCGGAUAACAGCAUAAAUCGCAUGAUAUAUGUUUAAAAGUUGGUUUCGGCUAACACUAUGAGAUGGCUUUGCGGUGCAUUAGCUAGUUGGUGGGGUAAAGGCCUACCAAGGCGACGAUGCAUAGCCGACCUGAGAGGGUGAUCGGCCACACUGGGACUGAGACACGGCCCAGACUCCUACGGGAGGCAGCAGUAGGGAAUCUUCCGCAAUGGGCGAAAGCCUGACGGAGCAACGCCGCGUGAGUGAAGAAGGAUUUCGGUUCGUAAAGCUCUGUUGUUAGGGAAGAAUGAUUGUAUAGUAACUAUAUACAGUAGAGACGGUACCUAACCAGAAAGCCACGGCUAACUACGUGCCAGCAGCCGCGGUAAUACGUAGGUGGCAAGCGUUGUCCGGAAUUAUUGGGCGUAAAGCGCGCGCAGGUGGUUUAAUAAGUCUGAUGUGAAAGCCCACGGCUCAACCGUGGAGGGUCAUUGGAAACUGUUAAACUUGAGUGCAGGAGAGAAAAGUGGAAUUCCUAGUGUAGCGGUGAAAUGCGUAGAGAUUAGGAGGACACCAGUGGCGAAGGCGGCUUUUUGGCCUGUAACUGACACUGA